UACGUAGGGUGCAAGCGUUGUCCGGAAUUAUUGGGCGUAAAGAGCUCGUAGGCGGCUUGUUGCGUCGGCUGUGAAAACCCGGGGCUCAACCCCGGGCCUGCAGCCGAUACGGGCAGACUAGAGUUCGGCAGGGGAGACUGGAAUUCCUGGUGUAGCGGUGAAAUGCGCAGAUAUCAGGAGGAACACCGGUGGCGAAGGCGGGUCUCUGGGCCGAUACUGACGCUGAGGAGCGAAAGCGUGGGGAGCGAACAGG
rnacentral:rRNA from 1 species